rnacentral:rRNA from 1 species
GACAGAGGGGGCAAGCGUUGCUCGGAAUCACUGGGCGUAAAGGGCGCGUAGGCGGGAUGGCAAGUCGGUCGUGAAAUCCUUCGGCUCAACCGAAGAACGUCGGCCGAUACUGCCGUUCUUGAGGGAUGCAGAGGAGAUUGGAAUUCCCGGUGUAGCGGUGAAAUGUGUAGAGAAUCGGGAGGAACACCGGUGGCGAAGGCGGGUCUCUGGGCGAUCGUCCUGACGCUGAGGCGACGGAAAGCGUGGGGAGCAAACGGG